GGAACAGUCUGCCGCAUUCCAAUGGAACUGUCCUGCCCUGCGGCAUGCACCUUCCACUGCAAAUCUAACCCGCUUGUCUGCCUUUGGCUCCGCAUCGUCCUGCUCCUUCCCGGGGCUGCUUUGGCUGAACCCGCCUUGUGGGUGGCGGGUCCCAGCGGUGCUCGUGCUGCGUUUUGGGAGCAUGCGGCGGGGAGGGGAACAGAACAAAGGGUAGCUGUGUCUGGGUGUUUGUCCCUCGCAGCCCUUUUGCCAGCUGACGCAAGGCAAUGCAGCCCUUCCCGGCGGGAACUCGCUUGCCUUGGCUGAGAAUCGCUCUGCCUGUGAACGCUCAGACUGAUUGCAAGAGAUCCAAACAGUGUUUGGCCCGCGUGGGUGGUGGGGCUGCUGCUCCUCCUAGCCCGGUCUCAGCAGACAGUAGCUGCUGGACAGCAGCAAAGAUCCAGCCACGUUCAAGUUUUUAGAACCUUGCUCCAGCCUUUCCCGGCACUGAUAGGGACGGGGUUCAAAUCUCCUUCUCCUUAAAGUUCCGGGUGCUGUGAACUUCACCAAUUCUCCUAGAAAGAAACAAAAAGUUUAGCUGCGCUACCUUAUGGCUCUACAAGUCCACACAGCGUGUGACUGUGUAUAUGCAGCGUUUUAGGUGCUGUGCAAACUGCCAGAGAUACUUCAGCUUAAUAAAUCAGGGCUGCCUUCUGAAGAAGUAACGUUUGAGAGGCGAUUAAAGAGAAAGAUAAGGAGUCUGCAUGAAGCUCAGAGAUAGCCUAGCUGUUGAUCAUCACUGGCCAACACCGGCAGUCACGCCUCUCAUGAAGAGAUGUUAUAUGGUCGCUGCUCUGGGACCUGAAGUUGCCCCAUAGUAUACGUGCAGUUAGGUUACAGUUUGUCAACAACAACAGGAGAUAUAUGAGUGGCCUGUUCCUCUAACAAAGGCCCACCCACCCCGAUGCUUGUGCAUGAGGGAUAUAGGCUGUUGGGGCAUCUGGACCAUUGCAAAGCAGCCCCAGAACCCCUCUUAAAUCAUACCAUCUUCCACUUUGGCUGUACUUUUUCAUUUUCCACCCCAGGCCCUCUGCAUUAGGACUUAACAAUGACCCCUCUGAUUUUAACAAUGUCUCAGGUCUCUCGUCUACUGUUUCAUAUUAUUUAAUGCUGUACAUCAUCUAGGGUUACAGUUUGCAUAAAAGUGUUUUAUAAAAACAAAACAAAAAUAUAUUCUCUAGGGGCUUAGACAAGAUAAUGAUCAAUAAAAUUGUAAUUGUUGCUUUG